UACGUAGGGAGCAAGCGUUGUUCGGAUUUACUGGGCGUAAAGGGUGCGUAGGCGGCGCGUCAAGUCAGUUGUGAAAUCUUAAGGCUUAACCUUAAACGGUCAACUGAUACUGUCGUGCUAGAGUGCAGAAAGGGCAAUCGGAAUUCUUGGUGUAGCGGUGAAAUGCGUAGAUAUCAAGAGGAACACCUGAGGCGAAGGCGGGUUGCUUGGCUGACACUGACGCUGAGGCACGAAAGCUAGGGUAGCAAACGGG
rnacentral:rRNA from 1 species